rnacentral:misc_RNA from 1 species
UCUGGGUUUAUCCCAGCGGUCCCGUCAGAAAAAUAUAACUGACGGCGAGGGUUGCGCUCGUUGCGGGACUUAACCCAACACCUCACGGCACGAGCUGACGACAGCCAUGCAGCACCUGUGCACGAUCUCCGAAGAGGGGCUCUCGUUUCUGAGAGUUUGCUCGUGCAUGUCAAGCCUAGGUAAGGUUCUUCGCGUUGCGUCGAAUUAAACCACAUGCUCUACCGCUUGUGCGGGCCCCCGUCAAUUCCUUUGAGUUUCAACCUUGCGGUCGUACUCCCCAGGCGGGGUACUUCCUGCGUUAGCUUCGGCACCGCAGGGGUCAAUACCCGCGACACCUAGUACCCAUCGUUUACAGCGUGGACUAC